AUAAUGGGUCAGCGACUUAUAUUCUGUAGCAAGGUUAACCGAAUAGGGGAGCCGAAGGGAAACCGAGUCUUAACUGGGCGUUAAGUUGCAGGGUAUAGACCCGAAACCCGGUGAUCUAGCCAUGGGCAGGUUGAAGGUUGGGUAACACUAACUGGAGGACCGAACCGACUAAUGUUGAAAAAUUAGCGGAUGACUUGUGGCUGGGGGUGAAAGGCCAAUCAAACCGGGAGAUAGCUGGUUCUCCCCGAAAGCUAUUUAGGUAGCGCCUCGUGAAUUCAUCUCCGGGGGUAGAGCACUGUUUCGGCAAGGGGGUCAUCCCGACUUACCAACCCGAUGCAAACUGCGAAUACCGGAGAAUGUUAUCACGGGAGACACACGGCGGGUGCUAACGUCCGUCGUGAAGAGGGAAACAACCCAGACCGCCAGCUAAGGUCCCAAAGUCAUGGUUAAGUGGGAAACGAUGUGGGAAGGCCCAGACAGCCAGGAUGUUGGCUUAGAAGCAGCCAUCAUUUAAAGAAAGCGUAAUAGCUCACUGGUCGAGUCGGCCUGCGCGGAAGAUGUAACGGGGCUAAACCAUGCACCGAAGCUGCGGCAGCGACGCUGAUGCGUUGUUGGGUAGGGGAGCGUUCUGUAAGCCUGUGAAGGUGUGCUGUGAGGCAUGCUGGAGGUAUCAGAAGUGCGAAUGCUGACAUAAGUAACGAUAAAGCGGGUGAAAAGCCCGCUCGCCGGAAGACCAAGGGUUCCUGUCCAACGUUAAUCGGGGCAGGGUGAGUCGACCCCUAAGGCGAGGCCGAAAGGCGUAGUCGAUGGGAAACAGGUUAAUAUUCCUGUACUUGGUGUUACUGCGAAGGGGGGACGGAGAAGGCUAUGUUGGCCGGGCGACGGUUGUCCCGGUUUAAGCGUGUAGGCUGGUUUUCCAGGCAAAUCCGGAAAAUCAAGGCUGAGGCGUGAUGACGAGGCACUACGGUGCUGAAGCAACAAAUGCCCUGCUUCCAGGAAAAGCCUCUAAGCAUCAGGUAACAUCAAAUCGUACCCCAAACCGACACAGGUGGUCAGGUAGAGAAUACCAAGGCGCUUGAGAGAACUCGGGUGAAGGAACUAGGCAAAAUGGUGCCGUAACUUCGGGAGAAGGCACGCUGAUAUGUAGGUGAAGUCCCUCGCGGAUGGAGCUGAAAUCAGUCGAAGAUACCAGCUGGCUGCAACUGUUUAUUAAAAACACAGCACUGUGCAAACACGAAAGUGGACGUAUACGGUGUGACGCCUGCCCGGUGCCGGAAGGUUAAUUGAUGGGGUCAGCGCAAGCGAAGCUCUUGAUCGAAGCCCCGGUAAACGGCGGCCGUAACUAUAACGGUCCUAAGGUAGCGAAAUUCCUUGUCGGGUAAGUUCCGACCUGCACGAAUGGCGUAAUGAUGGCCAGGCUGUCUCCACCCGAGACUCAGUGAAAUUGAACUCGCUGUGAAGAUGCAGUGUACCCGCGGCAAGACGGAAAGACCCCGUGAACCUUUACUAUAGCUUGACACUGAACAUUGAGCCUUGAUGUGUAGGAUAGGUGGGAGGCUUUGAAGUGUGGACGCCAGUCUGCAUGGAGCCGGCCUUGAAAUACCACCCUUUAAUGUUUGAUGUUCUAACGUUGACCCGUGAUCCGGGUUGCGGACAGUGUCUGGUGGGUAGUUUGACUGGGGCGGUCUCCUCCUAAAGAGUAACGGAGGAGCACGAAGGUUGGCUAAUCCUGGUCGGACAUCAGGAGGUUAGUGCAAUGGCAUAAGCCAGCUUGACUGCGAGCGUGACGGCGCGAGCAGGUGCGAAAGCAGGUCAUAGUGAUCCGGUGGUUCUGAAUGGAAGGGCCAUCGCUCAACGGAUAAAAGGUACUCCGGGGAUAACAGGCUGAUACCGCCCAAGAGUUCAUAUCGACGGCGGUGUUUGGCACCUCGAUGUCGGCUCAUCACAUCCUGGGGCUGAAGUAGGUCCCAAGGGUAUGGCUGUUCGCCAUUUAAAGUGGUACGCGAGCUGGGUUUAGAACGUCGUGAGACAGUUCGGUCCCUAUCUGCCGUGGGCGCUGGAGAACUGAGGGGGGCU
rnacentral:rRNA from 1 species